GAAAUGCGAUAAGUAGUGUGAAUUGCAGAAUUCAGUGAAUCAUCGAAUCUUUGAACGCACAUUGCGCUCCCUGGCAUUCCGGGGAGCAUGCCCGUUUCAGAAUCAUUACAAACAUCUCACCAUCUCUGGUGGUGGACGAUGGACAGCUUGAGCUUUUUGUUAAGCCCAAUUGUCUGAAAAUGAUUGUGCGCGCUCCGGCCAUUGUCGGUUAGCUCUAAAGGUGCAACAAGAAUAACUUCUAUUCACCUCUCUGGGUUAGCCAUUGCAGUGCAGGGGCUAGUGUACUCCCAAACCACAAGUCUAUGCAGCUGAGCUGUGUAGUCUGUUAACUUGGUCUGAAAUCGGGCAAGAAAACCCGCUGAACUUAA
rnacentral:misc_RNA from 1 species